AGUCCACCUGUCAAGCCACCACCA
rnacentral:siRNA from 1 species